rnacentral:rRNA from 1 species
AAUGAACGCUGGCGGCAGGCCUAACACAUGCAAGUCGAACGGUAACAGGAAACAGCUUGCUGUUUCGCUGACGAGUGGCGGACGGGUGAGUAAUGUCUGGGAAACUGCCUGAUGGAGGGGGAUAACUACUGGAAACGGUAGCUAAUACCGCAUAACGUCGCAAGGCCAAAGAGGGGGACCCUCGGGCCUCUUGCCAUCGGAUGUGCCCAGAUGGGAUUAGCUUGUUGGUGGGGUAACGGCUCACCAAGGCGACGAUCCCUAGCUGGUCUGAGAGGAUGACCAGCCACACUGGAACUGAGACACGGUCCAGACUCCUACGGGAGGCAGCAGUGGGGAAUAUUGCACAAUGGGCGCAAGCCUGAUGCAGCCAUGCCGCGUGUAUGAAGAAGGCCUUCGGGUUGUAAAGUACUUUCAGCGGGGAGGAAGGGAGUAAAGUUAAUACCUUUGCUCAUUGACGUUACCCGCAGAAGAAGCACCGGCUAACUCCGUG